GAUGAACGCUAGCGGCAGGCCUAACACAUGCAAGUCGAGGGAGAAGCCCUUCGGGGCAGAAACCGGCGCACGGGUGCGUAACGCGUAUGCAACCUACCUUUCACAGGGGGAUAGCCCGAAGAAAUUUGGAUUAAUACCCCAUAAUAUUAUUGGGUGGCAUCAUUUGAUAAUUAAAAUUACGACGGUGGAAGAUGGGCAUGCGUCCUAUUAGCUAGUUGGAGUGGUAACGGCACCCCAAGGCUACGAUAGGUAGGGGUCCUGAGAGGGAGAUCCCCCACACUGGUACUGAGACAGGGACCAGACUCCUACGGGAGGCAGCAGUGAGGAAUAUUGGUCAAUGGUCGGAAGACUGAACCAGCCAUGCCGCGUGCAGGAAGAAUGCCUUAUGGGUUGUAAACUGCUUUUAUAUGGGAAGAAUAAGGCGUACGUGUACGCUGAUGACG
rnacentral:rRNA from 1 species